rnacentral:rRNA from 1 species
AUUGAUCCUGGUUCAGGAGGAACGCUAGCUACCUUUUUAGCACAUGCAAGUCGAGGGGCAGCGGGAUUGAAGCUCGCUUCAAUUGCCGGCGACCGGCGCACGGGUGAGUAACGCGUAUCCAACCUUCCGCUUACUCGGGGAUAGCCUUUCGAAAGAAAGAUUAAUACCCGAUGGUAUCUUAAGCACGCAUGAGAUUAAGAUUAAAGAUUUAUCGGUAAGCGAUGGGGAUGCGUUCCAUUAGGCAGUUGGCGGGGUAACGGCCCACCAAACCUACGAUGGAUAGGGGCUCUGAGAGGAAGGUCCCCCACAUUGCAACUGAUACACGGACCAAACUCCUACGGGAGGCAGUAGUGAGGAAUAUUGGUCAAUGGGCGAGAGCCUGAACCAGCCAAGUAGUGUGAAGGAUGACGGCCCUACGGGUUGUAGACUUCUUUUGUGCGGGAAUAAAGGAACCUACAUGUAGGAUUUUGCAUGUACCGCAACGAAUAAGAAUCGGCUAACUCCGUGCCAGUAGCUGCGAUAAUACGGAGGAUGCGAGCGCUAUCCGGAUUUAUUGGGAUUAAAGGGAGUGUAUACGGGAUUUUAAGUCAGUUGUGAAAGUUUGCGGGUCAACCUUACCAUUGCAGAUGAAACUGG